AACGAACGCUGGCGGCAGGCUUAACACAUGCAAGUCGAACGGUUGUAGCAAUACAGUAGUGGCAGACGGGUGAGUAACACGUGGGAACCUUCCUAGGGGUACGGAACAACUCAGGGAAACUUGAGCUAAUACCGAAUACGUCCGUGAGGAGAAAGAUUUAUCGCCCUUAGACGGGCCCGCGUCGGAUUAGCUAGGUGGUGGGGUAACGGCCUACCAAGGCGACGAUCCGUAGCUGAUCUUAGAGGAUGAUCAGCCACCCUGGGGCUGAGACACGGCCCAGACUCCUACGAGAGGCGGCAGUGGGGAAUCUUGGACAAUGGGCGCAAGCCUGAUCCAGCCAUGCCGCGUGAGUGAAGAAGGUCUUCGGAUUGUAAAGCUCUUUUGCCAGGGGCGAUAAUGACGGUACCUGGAGAAUAAGCCCCGGCAAACUUCGUGCCAGCCGCCGCAGUAAAAC
rnacentral:rRNA from 1 species